CGUCCCGCCUGCCCUGUGAUUUAAUUUAACGGCCGCGGUAUCUUGACCGCGCAAAGGUAGCAUAAUCAAUUGUUCUUUAAAUAAGGACUAGUAUGAACGGCACCACGAGGGUUUAACUGUCUCCCUAUUUUAACCAAUGAAAUUGAUCUUCCCGUGAAGAAGCGGGAAUAUAAAUAUAAGACGAAAAGACCCCAUGGAGCUUUAAACUUACUUUCAAUUACCAAAACAAAAACACAUACCCGGUAAAAAUGACAAUAAUUUUCGGUUGGGGCGACCCUGGAGAAAAGUAAAUCCUCCAAGAUGAAUAGACUAAAAAAUCUAAUGGUAGAAUUACCACCUAAAACAAUCAAAACCUGGACAAAUGGCCCCGAAUAAAAUCCGAAUCAACAAACCAGUUACCCUGGGGAAUAACGCGCAAUCCAUUUCAAGAACCCUUAUCGACAAAAGGGUUUUCCAACUCCAAGGUGGAACCGGAAUUUCCAAGCAGCGCGCUGGUGGUUCGGGUUCCUUUGUUCCACGAAUAAUUACCCCCC
rnacentral:rRNA from 1 species